ACCGCAGAAAUGGUUAAUGCGCUUGGCUGCUAACCAAAAGGUUGGAAGUUCAAUUCUACCCAGAGGUA
rnacentral:tRNA from 1 species